rnacentral:lncRNA from 1 species
UAGAAGCACUAGACAUACGUCUCAGCAAAUAUUUGCUGAAUGAAGGCAUGAAUGGAUGAUUCAGAAAAAUAGUAUCCAUCCUCAUAUUUGAAAUGAGGGUUAAUACAGAAGGAACUCACAUAAAACAUAAUAAAAAAAAUAACCUUUCAUGCAAAGCGGACCAUGAGUUCUCACAUCAACAAAUAAGCUGAAUGUUUCCUAAUCCAAUUUCUAUUUACACGUGGUCAUCCCCCGUCCCUCCGUCGGUUCAUCUAGUAUCCACCCAUUCUUUCAGUGAAUGCUGAGAGACCGCAGGCCGGUGGCCCAAGUGCUGUCUAGACUAAGGGAAACAGGGCAUAAGCCCUUUCCAAGGAGUUCAAUGACUUUUGGGAAGACAAAUCUGUGCAUCCACAGCCCUGGCCAUCAACCACUGUAGGGACUGUAAGGGGGCGGAGCAAGCCAGACACAGGCCUAAGGACCCGGCUGCACAGAUGCUUCCUGCCUGCUUCUGGCUCAGGGCUGCAGAAUCUUGAGUCUCAUCCGUUCAUUCACCCCACAACUAUUUCGGGGGGUACCUGCUACUAUCAGGUGCCCAGCAGGGGCCUGCAAAUCUGCUACGGUUGGUUCUGUAUGGGAGAGGCAGCAAUCACAGUAGGAUGAGUGCUACGGGGCACGUAGGGGCCACUCGUCCAGGUGGACAGACUCACCAAGGGAGCUUUGCCUGGAUGCCUCUUGGGAUCUUUAAUUACCAGAAUGAGGCUGAUUUCAGAGCUGCUAGUGACCAAGGACUGCAGGACUGUUGCGUCGUCUCUGGGAGAUACACCCUCUCUCUGUGCCGCGAAGAAGGCCACAGCGCACUACAGCUCUCUGGGGGUGGGAUAAAGCGUCCGGUGUCCUUUCCCCUCCCACCCCCACCCCCCACCCUGCAUAGUGCCCUGCAACUUCCUGAGAGAUAUUCCUCACGGGAACAAGGGCUGAUGAGCUGGGCUGCAUUAUCUCUUCCUGCCAGGGGGCCACUCCAGCCUCUCUUGGCAGUAGACACCUUGGGGAGGAGGUCUCUGCCCAGCUCCCAGCCGCCCCCCUCCUUUGGGGUCCUUCAGUCAUCGGCGUGAAAACCCAGCCAGGCUAGACGUGCCGAAGAUCAGGCCGGUCCUCAGACUGUGCUGUGCAGGCCAGAGGAGCUGACGGAGCCCGGGGAGCACAGGGCCGGGAGCAGGGUGGUGGUGGUAGGGAAGACAGGACACGGAGGUAGAGGUGGACAGACAGACGGAGACACACAGACACGCAGAAACAACAGCAAGGAGAGCCUUCCCGCUCCUGGCCGUCGCCCUCCCCCCAAGACCUGGCUGCAGCGUGCCUGGGGUGCUCCCGACACCCCCACCAUCUAAUGUGAAUGUGGGUUCUUCACUCAUAGCCCAGGUGGGCUUUCCUUCCCGCCAGCCAAGAGCCCAUGGUCGCGCAGGCCUGGCACAGCUCCCGGCGGACUUGCCCUCACCCAGCUCCACGCUCUACCCUCUGGGACCAGGGUAGCAGGCCCUGGGCUGAGCUUGACCCC